CCUACGGGGGCAGCAGUGAGGAAUAUUGGUCAAUGGACGAGAGUCUGAACCAGCCAAGUUGCGUGAAGGAUGACUGCCCUAAGGGUUGUAAACUUCUUUUAUAUGGGAAUAAAAUGUUUCACGUGUGGGAUUUUGUUUGUACCAUAUUAAUAAGGAUUGGGUAACUUCGUUGCAGGAGCCGCGGUAAUACGGAGGAUCCGAGCGUUAUCCGGAUUUUUUGGGUUUAAAGGGAGCGUAGGUGGAUUGUUAAGUCAGUUGUGAAAGUUUGCGGAUCAACCGUAAAAUUGCAGUUGAAACUGGCAGUCUUGAGUACAGUAGAGGUGGGCGGAAUUCGUGGUGUAGCGGUGAAAUGCUUAGAUAUCACGAAGAACUCCGAUUGCGAAGGCAGCUCACUGGACUGCAACUGACACUGAGGCUCGAAAGUGUGGGUAUCAAACAGGAUUAGAUACCCUUGUAGUC
rnacentral:rRNA from 1 species